ACACUGACGUCGCGAUGCAUAUCAAUAAGCGGAGGAAAAGAAACUAACUAGGAUUCCCUUAGUAACGGCGAGUGAAGCGGGAAGAGCUCAAAUUUGAAAUCUUCAAGGUUCUACCUUGACGAAUUGUAGUUUAAAGAAGUGUUUUCUGUUGGAGUUUUGGUAAAAGUUCUUUGGAAUAGGACAUCAUAGAGGGUGAGAAUCCCGUAUUUGACCAUUUCUUCCAGCUGUGUGAUACACUUUCAAAGAGUCGGAUUGUUUGGGAAUGCAGUCCAAAAUGGGUGGUAAAUUUCAUCUAAAGCUAAAUAUUGGCGAGAGACCGAUAGCGAACAAGUACCGUGAGGGAAAGAUGAAAAGAACUUUGAGAAGAGAGUUAAACAGUACGUGAAAUUGUCAAAAGGGAAGCGUUUGACACCAGUGUUGUUUUCUCGAAGAUCAAUUAAAAAUGACCGGAUUUUGUGUUGUAUUGACUUUAUCAGCUUUCUGCACUUUUUUCUUGUCUUUUUUAAUGCACUUUUCGUUUAACAAGUCAACAUCAAUUUCUUUUGUUGUAAAAGGGUCAUUGGAAGGUGGCUUUCAUUUCGGUGAAAGUGUUUAUAGCCUUUGACUUCUGCAAUCGGAGAGAUUGAGGUCUGCAGCGUAGAUCCUUCGGGGUUAGAUACAUUUGUGCUAAGUUAUAGUUUUUCAUAGACAACAUGUUGACUAUGAUUAAUCAUGUAGCUUACUCGCUUAUGCUAUUUUACCUACGCUUAGGAUGUUGACGCGCGUGUGUGCGUG
rnacentral:rRNA from 1 species